UUUCAGGUUUUUUAUUUGAAUAAAAUAAUCCUUUAUCAGUCCCACAGCAGAAAAAUUCAGCGUUGAAGCAACAAAAUACAAAAAGGCAUGAUAUAAAUAAGAUAAAAAGCAAGAAAAUAUAUAACAACAUACAAAGAUUGUAAACAAUAUGAAUAAAUUAUGCAAGACUGGAUUUGAGAACUAAUAUUUGAAAUAGCAAAAUACCUAAAUUAAAUGACAAACACAAAAUCUAACCUAGCGCACAAAAACUGCGUAGAGGUGUGAAUAUGUGUGUGAUUGUGGAAAACAAAUUCCGUUGUCUUUAGCUGCCUCUCAUACUAAAGCAUCAGAAACAGUCAAAAAGUUUUGUAGUUUAAGUGCCAAAAAUGGUCAAAAAAUGUCAAAAAUGGUCAAGAAGUAUAAUAGUAUAAUAAGGCGUCAAAAACGGUCAAAAAAUGUCAUAGUAUAGUAAAGUGUCAAAAAUGGUCAAAAAAUGUCAUAGUAUAGUAGGGUGUGAAAAAUGGUCAAAAAAUGUCAUAGUAUAGUAAGGUGUGAAAAAUGGUCAAAAUUUUUCAUAUUAUACCUAGACAUUAAAAAUGGUCAAAAAAUGUCAUAGUAUAGUAAGGCGUCAAAAAUGGUCAAAAAAUAUCAUAGUAUAGUAAGGCGUCAAAAAUGGUCAAAAAUUGUCAUAGUAUAGUAAGGUGUGAAAAAUGGUCAAAAAAUGUCAUAGUAUAGUAAGGCAUCAAAAACGGUCAAAAAACGAUCAAAAAAUGUCAUAGUAUAGUAAGGUGUGAAAAACGAUCAAAAAAUGUCAUAGUAUAGUAAGGUGUGAAAAAUGGUCAAAAAAUGUCAUAGUAUAGUAAGGUGUCAAAAACGGUCAAAAAAUGGUCAAAAAAUGUCAUAGUAUAGUAAGGUGUGAAAAAUGGUCAAAAAAUGUCAUAGUAUAGUAAGGUGUCAAAAACGGUCAAAAAAUGUCAUAGUAUAGUAAGGUGUGAAAAAUGGUCAAAAAAUGUCAUAGUAUAGUAUGGCAUCAAAAACCGUCAAAAAAUGUCAUAGUAUAGUAAGGUGUCAAAAAUGGUCAAAAAAUGGUCAAAAAAUGUCAUAGUAUAGUAAGGUGUGAAAAAUGGUCAAAAAAUGUCAUAGUAUAGUAAGGCGUCAAAAAUGGUCAAAAAAUGUCAUAGUAUAGUAAGGUGUCAAAAACGGUCAAAAAAUGUCAUAGUAUAGUAAGGCGUCAAAAAUGGUCAAAAAAUGUCAUAGUAUAAUAAGGCAUCAAAAACGGUCAAAAAAUGUCA